UACGAAGGGGGCUAGCGUUGCUCGGAAUCACUGGGCGUAAAGGGUGCGUAGGCGGGGCUUUAAGUCAGGGGUGAAAUCCUGGAGCUCAACUCCAGAACUGCCUUUGAUACUGAAGAUCUUGAGUUCGGGAGAGGUGAGUGGAACUGCGAGUGUAGAGGUGAAAUUCGUAGAUAUUCGCAAGAACACCAGUGGCGAAGGCGGCUCACUGGCCCGAUACUGACGCUAAGGCACGAAAGCGUGGGGAGCAAACAGG
rnacentral:rRNA from 1 species